GCCCACGUAAACUUUUGCCUUCUAAAUCUAAAGUGAAAUCUUACCGAAACAUUUUUUUUGACAAGGUGUGUCGGAAAAGCUCCGGUGGCACAAAAAAAGCUUUAUUUCAAAUCCAAACUAUGAGUUUUCCACGACAGUAAUCCGCAGGGAUUCUUCCAGGAUCCUCCGCAGCUCCGUCGUGAUAAACCGGCGCCCUCUUGAUGACCCUUUGAAAGAGAAGAACGUCUGAUGGAGCCACGUCGGGUGAGAAGUCAACUUGCCGCAGCACGCCGACGUUCUGCUCGGUCGGGAACCGUCAGAUGCUGCGGCAUGCUGUCAUGGCACACACCACUCGGUGCUUGCCAACGCCGCAGGAUCACGUUGUAGACGCGCUGGUUGAUCGUCUGAACCGCGAUGAAGGUGAGAAACUUCCGCCGUGUGUCGGGGAACCACAUGCUGCCACCUACAGAACACAGAUGCAUACUACAUGCCUUGCAUUUGUGCUCAACUUGUGUCACACUCGUGUGCUUUAAUUGUUCUCGAUUUGUCUCGCUCCAGAUUUCGAAUUUGAUCUAUCAACGAAUUCCAGAAGUGUUUGGAAAAUGAUGUUUUAAUGACACAACAGGAAGCUUUUGUGUAAAAAUAGAUUCGUAGAUAAAAUGCUGCUGUUGCUCGUUUUCACAGACCUUGACAAAAAGAAACAUUAAAAAGCCAUUUUUAAAAA